UACAGAGACCUCAAACGUUAUCCGGAUUUAUUGGGCGUAAAGGGUCCGCAGGUGGUGUUGUAAGCUUAUGGUUAAAUCCAAGCGCUUAACGUUUGGACUGCCAUGAGGACUGCAACGCUAGAGGAUGGGAGAGGCAUACGGAAUUCUCGGUGUAGUCGUAAUAAGCGCUGAUAUCGAGAGGAACACCAAAGGCGAAGGCAGUAUGCUGGAACAUUCCUGACACUCAUGGACGAAAGCGUGGGGAGCAAAUAGG
rnacentral:rRNA from 1 species